UCCAGCCCCAGCCUGUCCUGAUGAGAUAAAGUUCAAAUACCAACGGCUGAAGACCUAGACAACAGCCCUAAACAAAGUAAGAAGCAUCCACUCUAAAAAGAAGAGGACAACAGAACAACAGAAGGAAGAUCAAAGCCAGGUUCAAGGCUGAAAGUCACGCCUGCAAUCGAUGGGUGAUCAAUCCAAACCCAGAGGCAGCGUGACACAGCAAGACCUAUAGACUUUGAAUCCAAACUAAAAGCCUAUAAAAAAGAAGGGUGAGAUGAGAGACUCUGGGAAACAGUCUGCUGCCAACAUGGAAGGACAUCGGUGCCUGCCCAACAGAGAUCCAGCUUGUCCUUGUGCCCAGCUUUCCUGGCCAGUUAGCCUCCACAAGCUACAAACCCAAGCUACAAAAUCAAGCUAUGAACUUAAGCUAUCUUCAGGACUGGUAACUAUGCAGCAGCUGCAGAACAUCUGAUGGAUGUGUGUGUGUGUGUGCGUGUGUGAAUGUGUAUUAGGUAUAAUGUGUGUGUAUAAGAAUUAAGAUAUUAGUUAUUAAUCAUAAAUCAAAUUGUUAUCAUAAUAAAUGUGGUAUCUUUGUCUUGCCCCCUGAAAA